rnacentral:rRNA from 1 species
CCUACGGGCGGCAGCAGUGGGGAAUAUUGCGCAAUGGGCGAAAGCCUGACGCAGCGACGCCGCGUGAGGGAUGAAGGUCUUCGGAUCGUAAACCUCUGUCAGCAGGGAAGAACGGUCACGGGGCUAAUCAGCAGUGAAUUGACGGUACCUGCAAAGGAAGCACCGGCUAACUCCGUGCCAGCAGCCGCGGUAAUACGGAGGGUGCGAGCGUUAAUCGGAAGUACUGGGCGUAAAGCGCGCGUAGGCGGUAUGUCAAGUCAAGGGUGAAAUCCCCGCUCUCCUCGUGGGAACUGCCUUUGAACCUUGCAACCUGGAGUGUGUGAGAGGAUAGUGGACUUCCCGGUGUCGGC